rnacentral:rRNA from 1 species
CACGUAGGGGCCAAGCGUUGUCCGGAUUCAUUGGGCGUAAAGAGCUCGUAGGCGGUUCAGUCAGUCGGGUGUGAAAUCUCCGGGCUCAACUCGGAGGGGCCACCCGAUACUGCUGUGACUCGAGUCCGGUAGGGGAGUGGGGAAUUCCUGGUGUAGCGGUGAAAUGCGCAGAUAUCAGGAGGAACACCAGUGGCGAAGGCGGCACUCUGGGCCGGUACUGACGCUGAGGAGCGAAAGCGUGGGGAGCGAACAGG